CACUNCAAGCAUGAAUGGUUAAAGUAACUGCUUCUCCACCAUUGUUGUUAAGGUCUAAAAUUCAUGUACAUAUGUUUGUGUAGCUGGACAGAGUACUGAGGAAGCAUUUCCAACUUUGGAAUUUGUACAUACACAAGCUUCCUCGCCAUAUUUCUGUUAUACUAGCAGAGCAGCAAGUCUAGUUGAAUGUACAAACUUUUUAGCUUGUCGAAAUUUUUUCUUUAAUUUGCACCAAUCCAAAUUUCCCUUGUUUAUGAUGAUGGGUAGAACUGAAUGCAAAGCUAGCCCUCUUGCUAUAUGCCCUAAUCAGUGUAAUGUUAUCGGUAGUUGUAAAUGGUAGAAAUAAAUUUUGGUUGUCCACAA